GGGAGACGCAUGCCCCUCCUCUUCAGUAUGGCUGCUGUGCAACCAGGCCACCAAAGAAUUUAGUGCCCCCCCUUCCCUGGGCAAAGGUAAGAGCCAGCGAGGGCUGAAUAAACAAAAUACUCACUCUCUGCAUCCAUUACGUACACACUCUACAUCCAUUACACACACACACACACUGCAUCCAUUACACACAUACGUACAAACACUGCAUC